rnacentral:rRNA from 1 species
AACGCGAAGAACCUUACCUGGGCUCGAAGCGCAGUGGACCGGGAUAGAAAUAUCCCUUCCCCUUAAAAGGCUGCUGCGGAGGUGCUGCAUGGCUGUCGUCAGCUCGUGUCGUGAGAUGUUGGGUUAAGUCCCGCAACGAGCGCAACCCUUAUCCCUAGUUGCCAUCGGGUCAAGCCGGGCACUCUAGUGAAACCGCACAGGAUAACUGUGAGGAAGGUGGGGAUGACGUCAAGUCCUCAUGGCCUUUAUGUCCAGGGCUACACACGUGCUACAAUGGCCGGUACAAACCGUCGCAAACCCGCGAGGGGGAGCUAAUCGGAAAAAGCCGGCCUCAGUUCGGAUUGGAGUCUGCAACCCGACUCCAUGAAGCUGGAAUCGCUAGUAAUCGCGGAUCAGAACGCCGCGGUGAAUACGUUCCCGGGCCUUGUACACACCGUGUCGA